rnacentral:lncRNA from 1 species
ACUUCAAUAAAAAAAAAUGGGAAAUAUUUGUCUAUUGACUCUAAUUAUCCAAACAUUUUUCUUGGCAGGUAGAUUCCCAUGACCAUUAAGCAAUUUUUAAAAUCAGUUAUAGAGGCUUGAAGGCACAAUACUUAAGGCCCAGAAGCUGAAAGUAACCAGGGAUUUAGCAUUCUAUUCUCAGAGGAUCCUUGGGAAUAAACAGGACUGUGACAAGCAACUGUACACACAUCAAACACCCAGUGACCCGAGUGU